rnacentral:piRNA from 1 species
UCUCAAAGUCUCUAAAAACUCUAAAGAGA